ACAGAAGAAUCCAGAGAUGGAUUUGUGCCUUCGGGAACUGUGAGACAGGUGCUGCAUGGCUGUCGUCAGCUCGUGUUGUGAAAUGUUGGGUUAAGUCCCGCAACGAGCGCAACCCUUAUCCUUUGUUGCCAGCGGUCCGGCCGGGAACUCAAAGGAGACUGCCAGUGAUAAACUGGAGGAAGGUGGGGAUGACGUCAAGUCAUCAUGGCCCUUACGACCAGGGCUACACACGUGCUACAAUGGCGCAUACAAAGAGAAGCGACCUCGCGAGAGCAAGCGGACCUCAUAAAGUGCGUCGUAGUCCGGAUUGGAGUCUGCAACUCGACUCCAUGAAGUCGGAAUCGCUAGUAAUCGUGGAUCAGAAUGCCACGGUGAAUACGUUCCCGGGCCUUGUACACACCGCCCGUCACACCAUGGGAGUGGGUUGCAAAAGAAGUAGGUAGCUUAACCUUCGGGAGGGCGCUUACCACUUUGUGAUUCAUGACUGGGGUGAAGUCGUAACAAGGUAACCGUAGGGGAACCUGC
rnacentral:rRNA from 2 species